rnacentral:rRNA from 1 species
GACGAACGCUGGCGGCGUGCCUAAUACAUGCCAGUAGAACGCACAGUUUAUACCGUAGCUUGCUACACCAUACACUGUGAGUUGCGAACGGGUGAGUAACGCGUAGGUAACCUGCCUGGUAGCGGGGGAUAACUAUUGGAAACGAUAGCUAAUACCGCAUAAUAUUGAUUAUUGCAUGAUAAUUGAUUGAAAGAUGCUAUUGCAUCACUACCAGAUGGACCUGCGUUGUAUUAGCUAGUAGGUGAGGUAACGGCUCACCUAGGCGACGAUACAUAGCCGACCUGAGAGGGUGAUCGGCCACACUGGGACUGAGACACGGCCCAGACUCCUACGGGAGGCAGCAGUAGGGAAUCUUCGGCAAUGGACGAAAGUCUGACCGAGCAACGCCGCGUGAGUGAAGAAGGUUUUCGGAUCGUAAAGCUCUGUUGUAAGAGAAGAACGGGUGUGAGAGUGGAAAGUUCACACUGUGACGGUAUCUUACCAGAAAGGGACGGCUAACUACGUG